rnacentral:rRNA from 1 species
AACGACAAAGCGGGUGAAAAACCCGCUCGCUGAAAGACCAAGGGUUCCAGUCCAACGUUAAUCGGGGCUGGGUGAGUCGACCCCUAAGGCGAGGCCGAGAGGCGUAGUCGAUGGGAAAUUGGUUAAUAUUCCAAUACUUCUGUGUAAUGCGAUGAGAGGACGGAGAAGGUUAAGUCAGCCUGGCGUUGGUUGUCCAGGUGGAAGGUUGUAGGCAUGUAUCUUAGGCAAAUCCGGGGUACUGUAUGCUGAGAACUGAUAGCAAGCUGUACUUGUACAGUGAAGUGGCUGAUACCAUGCUUCCAGGAAAAGUCUCUAAGCUUCAGUUACACAGGAACCGUACCCGAAACCGACACAGGUGGGCAGGUAGAGUAUACCAAGGCGCUUGAGAGAACUAUGCUGAAGGAACUCGGCAAAAUGCUCCCGUAAGUUCGCGAGAAGGGAGACCUCACGACGGGCAACCGUUGUGGGGUGGCACAGACCAGGGGGUGGCGACUGUUUAUCAAAAACACAG